UGCAGGGGACACAGGAACACGAUGACAUGGC
rnacentral:piRNA from 1 species